UUUCCGUAGGUGAACCUGCGGAAGGAUCAUUAUUGAAUGAACUUGGUAGUGGUUGUAGCUGGCUCUCUCGAGAGCAUGUGCACACCCGCCAUCUUUAUCUUUCCACCUGUGCACUUCUUGUAGAUUUUGGGAUUUGAAAACUUAUCCGGGGCAACUCGGUCGGGAGGAACUGCUGUAGCAAUACGGCUCUCCUUGACAAGUCUUCAAAGUCUAUGUUUUUCAUAUACCCCAUAGUAUGUAACAGAAUGUAUACAAAUGAGCCUUAGUGCUUAUAAAACUUAUACAACUUUCAACAACGGAUCUCUUGGCUCUC
rnacentral:misc_RNA from 1 species